AAAAAGUUUUAUUUUAGCUUAAAAUAUUAAUGUUUAAUUUUUUUACAUGUAAAUUAUAGUGUGUUUAUUUUUAUAUUUAAAAAAUAUAUUUUUUUUUUAAUUCGCAGUUUAUAAAUUUUUAUAUUUAAGAAAUUAAGAUUAAGAAAUUUAUUUAGUAUUAACAAAAUUUGUGCCAGCAGUUGCGGUUAUACAAAUAAUACAAUUAAUAUUUAAUAAUAAAUAAUUAAAUGUGAUUUAUUGUAAUUAAAAUUUAAAUUUAUUAAGUGAAAUUUUAAAUUUAAUUAAAAUUAUAAUUAAUUAUUUGAAGUUAUUAAAUUUUAUAUUAAACUAGGAUUAGAUACCCUAUUAUUUAAAAUGUAAUUUUUUUUUUAUUAAAUUAGUAUUAGUUAUUAUCUUGAAAAUUAAAAAAUUUGGCGGUAUUUUAGUCUUUUCAGAGGAACCUGUUCUAUAAUCGAUAUUCCACGAUUAAUUGUACUUAUUUUAAUUAGUUUAUAUAUCAUCGUAGUUGAAUAUUUUAUAAGAAAUUAAAUAUUCAAGAUUUUUAAUAAUAAAUUAAAUCAGAUCAAGGUAUAGCUUAUAAAUAAGAAGAAAUGGGUUACAAUAAAUUUAUUUAAAUGGAUUUUUUAAUGAAAAAUUUGAAUGAAGGUGGAUUUGAAAGUAAUAUUAUUAAAUUUAAUAAUAUGAUUUGAGCUCUAAAAUAUGUACAUAUCGCCCGUCGCUUUCAUAUAAAGUGAAAUAAGUCGUAACAAAGUAGAUGUACUGGAAAGUGUAUCUAGAAUGA
rnacentral:ncRNA from 1 species